CACUGUAAAUAUAAUUCUUUAAGCAUCCUAAGGGCACCAGAUCCCAUCUGCCCUUUGAAGCUAAGCAGGGUCCAUUCUGUUUAAUACUUAGAAGUGGGGCUUCCCAUGAAAACCAGUUUUUUUCAGAGA
rnacentral:rRNA from 11 species